GGAAGGAUCAUUAACAAAUUCAAACAUACUUGUGUCCCUCUGAAGAAGAUUUACGUUUUCUUCAGAGGUGUUCAUACACAUACACACUUUUGAUUGACGAAACACCAGUUGAUACCAUUCAAGGUUAAUCGUAGACAACUUUUAACAAUGGAUCUCUUGGCUCUUGCAACGAUGAAGAACGCAGCGAACUGCGAAACGUAAUGUGACCUGCACUCUUCGUGAAUCAUCCAAUCUUUGAACGCACUUUGCACCUCGUGGCUCAUGUCACUUGGUAUACUUGUUUGAGUAUCCAAAAUACGCUCACCUCACCCUCGGGCGAAGUGGAUUUGAGGGUUCGAUGGUCUCCUCUUCUGGAACGUCGUCCCUUUAAAUGGAGGCCUACAACGGAAUGUCUUAGCUUGCGUACAAGCAAUGCUGUUUAGGCAACUAUUGGGAUAACAUCCUUACGAUAGUGUCGCCCAGACAGCAUGGCUCUGACAGUUCAGGUCAACAUAUCGACUCUCAUCACAACUUGAUGAGACGACGAUAAAUAACCUUGUUACAUGGAUCUCAAAUCAAGUAGGGAUACCCGCUGAACUUAAGCAUAUCAGUAAGCGGAGGAAAAGAAACUAACAAGGAUUCCCUUAGUAACGGCGAGUGAACCGGGAAGAGCUCAAAUUUAAAAUCCGGUACCAUUUAGGUGCCCGAAUUGUAUUUGAUAGGGUCUCCUUUCAGGGAAGAUUAUGGCCAAAGUUCUCUGGAAAGGGACAACAAAGAGGGUGACAUUCCCGUCUGGGUCAAAGUCGGAACUGGUACAAAGAGGACCUCAAGAGUCGGAUUGUUUGGGAAUGCAGUCCAAAAUGGGUGGUACAUUUCAUCUAAAGCUAAAUAUUGGCAAGAGACCGAUAGCGAACAAGUACCGUGAGGGAAAGAUGAAAAGAACUUUGAAAAGAGAGUUAAAUAGUACGUGAAAUUGUUAAAAGGGAAACGAUUGAGACCAGUGAUGCUGGAUGCCCUUAAGCGGUCCUUUUGGGGAUCGUGUAUGGUCAUCUUGCAAGUCGAUGCCUCUUUUGGGUCUUGGAAAAGACGGUGAGAAAGGUGGCGCUGUCUUCGGACAGUUGCUUUAUAGUCCUACCGGGAUACAAGACACCAGGAGAGGGACACCAGGCCGCAAGGUCACGUCGACAAAAUGGUCUUAAACGACCCGUCUUGAAACACGGACCAAGGAGUCUAACAACUAUGCGAGUAUUUGGGUGGCACAAACCCGAAUGCGUAAAGAAACUGAACGCGUGGGACCCCUUCUGUUUUUAAUAGUUGGGUGCACCAUGGGCCGGUCCUCGUCUUGACUUGGAUUGCGCUAGAGCAUAUCUGUUGGGACCCGAAAGAUGGUGAACUAUGCCUGAAUAGGGUGAAGCCAGAGGAAACUCUGGUGGAGGCUCGUAGACAUUCUGACGUGCAAAUCGAUGUUCAAAUUUGGGUAUAGGGGCGAAAGACUAAUCGAACCAUCUAGUAGCUGGUUCCCUC
rnacentral:misc_RNA from 1 species